rnacentral:rRNA from 1 species
ACGUAGGGGGCAAGCGUUGUCCGGAAUCAUUGGGCGUAAAGAGCGUGUAGGCGGCUCGGUAAGUCCGCUCUGAAAGCCCGGGGCUCAACCCCGGGAGGCGGGCGGAUACUGUCGAGCUAGAGUCCGGAAGAGGCGAGUGGAAUUCCUGGUGUAGCGGUGAAAUGCGCAGAUAUCAGGAGGAACACCAAUGGCGAAGGCAGCUCGCUGGGACGGUACUGACGCUGAGACGCGAAAGCGUGGGGAGCAAACAGGAUUAGAUACCCUGGUAGUCCACGCUGUAAACGAUGGGCACUAGGUGUGGGGGGUGUCGACUCCCUCCGUGCCGACGCUAACGCAUUAAGUGCCCCGCCUGGGGAGUACGGCCGCAAGGCUA